rnacentral:tRNA from 1 species
CCCCGAAAAUGAUGGUUCAAUUCCUUCCCUUACUA